UACGUAGGGGGCAAGCGUUGUCCGGAAUCAUUGGGCGUAAAGCGCGUGUAGGCGGCCCGGUAAGUCCGCUGUGAAAGUCCAGGGCUCAACCCUGGGAUGCCGGUGGAUACUGUCGGGCUCGAGUCCGGAAGAGGAGUGUGGAAUUCCUGGUGUAGCGGUGAAAUGCGCAGAUAUCAGGAGGAACACCGGUGGCGAAGGCGGCUUGCUGGGCCAGUUCUGACGCUGAGGAGCGAAAGCGUGGGGAGCGAACAGG
rnacentral:rRNA from 1 species